UUCGACGCACCUUCAGGAUACUCCUGAGUCUUGAGGAAGUUCUUGAUGUCAUAAUACCACGGCUUCUCAUCAAUCACAACAGACUCGGCUGCAAACACAUACGCAGGCCUCUCGAGUCGAUUCACCGCAACAUGUGGCACAUGAUUCCACCAAUGAACUUUGAUCAUAGAAGACAAAGUAGCCAAGGCAUCGGCCAUUUGAUUCUCAUCCCGGGGGACAUGAUACAACUUCACCUUCUUGAAGAACGUCAGUAUUCUUCUGGUGUAAUCUCUAUACGGAAUCAAAUGCGGCUG
rnacentral:lncRNA from 1 species